UACGUAGGGUGCGAGCGUUGUCCGGAAUUAUUGGGCGUAAAGGGCUCGUAGGCGGUCUGUCGCGUCGAAAGUGAAAACUCAGGGCUUAACCCUGAGCCUGCUUCCGAUACGGGCAGACUAGAGGUAUGCAGGGGAGAACGGAAUUCCUGGUGUAGCGGUGAAAUGCGCAGAUAUCAGGAAGAACACCAACGGCGAAGGCAGCUCGCUAGGACGGUACUGACGCUGAGACGCGAAAGCCAGGGAGCAAACGGG
rnacentral:rRNA from 1 species